rnacentral:rRNA from 1 species
CACGUAGUUAGCCGGCGCUUCUUAUCCAGCUACCGUCAACCCACCCACAAAAGGGACAGGCCUGCUUCACUGGCGAAAGAGGUUUACAACCCGAAGGCCUCCAUCCCUCACGCGGCGUCGCUGCAUCAGGCUUGCGCCCAUUGUGCAAUAUUCCCCACUGCUGCCUCCCGUAGGAGUCUGGGCCGUGUCUCAGUCCCAGUGUGACCGUCCACCCUCUCAGGCCGGCUACCCGUCACCGCCUUGGUAGGCCAUCACCCCACCAACAAGCUGAUAGGCCGCGAGCCCAUCCCCCACCGAAGCAAUAUCUUUCCCACACCCACCAUGCAGCAGGCGCAGAAUAUCCCGUAUUAGCCACACUUUCAUGCGGUUAUCCAGAAGAAGGGGCAGGUUACUCACGUGUUACUCACCCGUUCGCCACUCAUCCAGAACCAGCAAAACCGGUCCCUCACCGUCGACUUGCAUGUGUUAAGCACGCCGCCAGCGUCGUCCUCGUCGCACGACG